GGGAAUUUGGCUUAGUGGUAAAAGUGCUUGCCUACCAUGCAUGAAGCCCUGGGUUCAAUUCCUCAGUACCA
rfam:Dipodomys ordii contig_69083, whole genome shotgun sequence.